ensembl:lncRNA
GUUGAUGGUUUUCCGUAUAUUAAACCAUCCCUGCAUGCCUGGGAUGAAGCCUACUUGAUCAUGGUGGAUGAUUGUUUUGAUGUGCUCUUGGAUUCGGUUUGCCAGAAUUUUAUUGAGUAUUUUUGCGUCGAUAUUCAUAAGGGAAAUUGGUCUGAAGUUCUCUUUCUUUGUUGGGUCUUUGUUUGGUGUAGGUAUAAGAGUAAUUGUGACUUCAUAGAAGGAAUUCGGUAGUGCUCCAUCUGUUUCAAUUUUGUGGAAUAGUUUGGAUAAUAUUGGUAUGAGGUCUUCUAUGAAGGUCUGAUAGAAUUCUGCACUAAACCCGUCUGGACCUGGGCUCUUUUUGGUUGGGAGACCUUUAAUGACUGCUUCUAUUUCCUCAGGAGUUAUGGGGUUGUUUAACUGGUUUAUCUGAUCCUGAUUUAACUUCGGUACCUCGUAUCUAUCUAGGAAAUUGUCCAUUUCCUGUAGAUUUUCAAGUUUUGUUGAAUAUAGGUUUUUAUAGUAAGAUCUGAUGAUUUUUUGAAUUUCCUCUGAAUCUGUAGUUAUGUCUCCCUUUUCAUUUCUGAUUUUGUUAAUUUGGACGCACUCUCUGUGUCCUCUCGUUAGUCUGGCUAAGGGUUUAUCUAUCUUGUUGAUUUUCUCAAAGAACCAACUUUUGUUUCUGUUGAUUCUUUCUAUGGUCCUUUUUGUUUCUACUUGAUUGAUUUCAGCUCUGAGUUUGAUUAUUUCCUGCCUUCUACUCCUCCUGGGUGUAUUUGCUUCUUUUUGUUCUAGAGCUUGUAGGUGUGCUGUCAAGCUGCUGACAUAUGCUCUUUCCUGUUUCUUUCUGCAGGCACUCAGCGCUAUGAGUUUUCCUCUUAGCACAGCUUUCAUUGUGACCCAUAAGAUUGGAGUUCCUGAUGAAUUGCAUGUCUGUUUGUGCCUCAUAGCCGCACAGGUAUGUAUGUGAAUUUCCUAUAGCUAUGUAAAUGUAUGUAUUAACUGUUGCAUUACUACAUUUUGUUUACUAAAGUUGCUUAUAGAUGUCGUAAUAUGCAAUUGUUAAUUUUUGAUCACUUGUCAUUAAAUAUUGACAGUUCCAAAGAACUGUACUUUGUACACACUUUGCAUUGCAUAUCACUGUAAGAAUAAGAUCCACAUUUCUAAGAUUUGAUGAGGCAGAAUAAUUUUAAUUACAAAGCAUUCAUCUGGUGAAGAUUAGAGAGUAUUUUAUGGAACUGUGCUGUUAAAGCAACUGGUGAGUGAGGUCAGAGCAUUGGAGAAGCACUGUCUUUGGUAUCUUUGUUUUAUUAUCAAACUUCCUUGAUGCAUUUCAGGUUGAUUCUUUGCCGAGGUCGCUUUAGGUCAGAAGUGGCUGCAGCCCUACUCUCUUCUGCAUUGUCUCAGUAGCCAGAUGAAUCUGGACUGGGUGGGAAUGUUUACGGUAGUUUAAAAUUUCAGCCAUGCGCUGUUGUUGUUCCUGGGCAACAGGCAGGAAAUCUCCAAAGCUUGGUUGCACCUGCGCAGUCAUAGGCUGGAAACACACAGAAGCCCGUUAGCAGAUCGUCCGUGCUGUUGUGGAUCUGUGUUUCAUGCACUCAUGAGUUGGAAGGAUAGGAGUUGUAGGCUUUGGACUGUUGCAUUGGGCCGUUAUAACACUCACUGGCUAUAGUAUUCAGAUACUUUUACUUUAUUCUUUGUUUUGUGUCUCAAAUAUUUUUAAUAUAUCCCAACUGCCUUAGAAAACGUAUAUCUCACAUAGUGUAUCUCUCGAGAAAAGCGUGUUGGUAAUUUUUUGUCCUAAGAGAGACAUUUUGUGUUUGGCUUGAUUUCACCAUGUUGGCAGCCCCUCUGCGUGGGGCUGGAUGUAGUUAUUGAUCCAUUUAGCUGAACAGAUUUGAAAGCAUUUGGCUAUUAGUGGACACAUGGGGCACAUUCAGAAAAUGUAAGAGUAUACUGUAAGAUUUUACUUGUGUAUGUGUCUCUUCUGCAGUUGGGGUUGAAGAAAUGGGGAAAGAAACUGAAAAUUAAGUAGUAAAUUCUAGAAGAGGGGCUAACAUACACAUGAAAUUUUAAGGCUGCUAUGUUAUCAUUUGAUCAAAUCUAGCUCCUUGGCGUUUUUUCCAGAGUUACUUGUAGUGCAAUUCAGUUUCUUCUGUUAAUAGCUUUAUUUAUGUUGUGACAAAUUAGUAUAUCUUUAAGAGAUUUGAACUAUUAUUGAAUUUAUCUUCGGUAAAGUUCUGUAAGUGAAAUUCAAACAGCUGUACUUUUAUAUAAAGGUAUUUAAUUAAUUGAUUCCCUUGUCCCAAAUUCCUGAUACUGAAAACUUGUUUGUAUGGCUUGUAUUAGUCUCCUUAACAUGCUAAAAAUAUUAAAGAUUUUUCCAUGAGAAUUUAAUAACCCAAAUCCUAAGUCUUAGAACUGCUGUAUUUUCCUACUAUUAGCAUACAGCAGAUAUUUGUUUGAAAUAAUACAUCAUUACAAUAUGGCCUGGAUUAACCUCUUGGGAACUAGAAAAUAGACACAAAGGAGGUAGAGGAGAGUCUGUGGCUCCUUACCAUAGUACCUUGUACAGAGCAUUUGGUCAGGGCGUGCUGGCUAGAAUAAAACAUGCCAGGCAGUGUGGUAGAAAUGGAGGGACUAGGGUUGGGGAUUUAGCUCAGUGGUAGAGCGCUUGCCUAGGAAGCGCAAGGCCCUGGGUUCGGUCCCCAGCUCCGAAAAAAAGAACCAAAAAAAAAAAAAAAAAAAAAAAAAAAAAGAAAUGGAGGGACUAUGCCCUGGGGCCGGGUAGCCUGUGGAAGCAUGUUGGGUGAAUGGUUAUGGACUUUACUUUCACAUGGCCAGUUAGAUAUAGAUAAAUCUUGUUUUUGAAAACAAAUGUAGAUGUAAAAAUCUCCUCAGUUUCAUUGUUAUAGAUUAAGAAUUACAAUACUACUAUUUAUUUAUACAAGUUAUUUAUUGACUACUGACUAUGAGAAAAAUAUUUUUAUUCUCCCUGUUAUACAUUCAGAGGCUGAGACAUCCAUACUUAAGUUCCUUGUCACCUUGGAAACUCUUCAGAGCAUAGGCAUGAGUAAACCCUUUGUGCUCCCUCCUUCCCCAAUGCUAGGUCAUCAACUUCACAGAAAUAAAAUGGGUCUUGACUUUCUUUGGGUCAGGUAGGAACAGAACAUAUUAAAAAGGUGUAGUUGUUUUACUAAGCAGAAAUAAUGGAGCCUGUAUUUACUAUAUACAUAUUUACAAUAGUUUCUAUUCGCCGCUGAAUCCCAACUGCAAAUGCAUAACAAAGGUAUAGUUAAAACAGAGCAGCUAAGACUUGCUGAAGGUCCUUCUAAGAUUACAUUUUGUGUCUGGAGGUCAGCACAUUAAAAUGACCCAGGUCUUAAGACAGUAAUAACUACUUACUUACUUUUAUUUUUAUUUAUUUUUUUAGCAAUCGAGUGCUUGUUCUUUGCUUGACUUAGUAACAAUAAAUCAUAGUCCUUCCUCAAGGAUCAGAAUGACAAAGAGGAC